AGGCUACUUAUUAGAAGAAUUUAAGAUGGUACGACCAACUUCUGACGGUCCAAAGAGAUGGAAAAAAAUACAUGUACAGGAUAUUGCAUUGCAAAACAAUGCAUACGAUUGCGGAGUAUUUAUUUGCUACUAUGCAAGCUAACUGUCAAAAGGAGAGCCAUUAAAUGCCAUAAACGGAAGUAACAUAAGCCCGUUCAGAGCCGAAAUACUGUAUGACAUUCUGUCAAAAUUAAAAACCAAAGAGGAAUGUGCAAAGCGGAAAGACGAGCCUAUAAAGAAAGUUACUCCAGAAUAUGCAAGAGCUGCAGUUACUCCUCGUAGUACCGAGAUUAAAACGAGUAUCCC